CAGCUGCCGCGGUAAUACGUAGGGUGCAAGCGUUAAUCGGAAUUACUGGGCGUAAAGCGUGCGCAGGCGGUUAUAUAAGACAGAUGUGAAAUCCCCGGGCUCAACCUGGGAACUGCAUUUGUGACUGUAUAGCUAGAGUACGGCAGAGGGGGAUGGAAUUCCGCGUGUAGCAGUGAAAUGCGUAGAUAUGCGGAGGAACACCGAUGGCGAAGGCAAUCCCCUGGGCCUGUACUGACGCUCAUGCACGAAAGCGUGGGGAGCAAACAGGAUUAGAUACCCCCGUAGUCCCUGUCUCUUAUAC
rnacentral:rRNA from 1 species